AUAGCCUCUCGGCCUUUUGGCUAAGAUCAAGUGUAGUAUCUGUUCUUAUCAGUUUAAUAUCUGAUAUGUGCUUUAUUUGAAGACUAUUAUUAAAUGGAUUUUUGGGUCUGGGAGAUGGAAUAGGGGCUUGCUCAGUCCACUCCAUGCAUUGACCAGGUAUUGCAGCGCCUCCAGGGUGCACACACA
ensembl:snRNA U2 U2 spliceosomal RNA